AACAAAAAGAAAAAAUAGAAACCAUUACCAACCUAGUAGACAACCAAGUUAUGCUAGGGGAUAUGCAUACACAUCAGCAGAGUCAGGGACCGGCAAAUGGUAUAUUGCAGUUCAUUUCAGAGUAUCGAUCGACAGGGCAAGACUCUUUAUUCCGGGAACCAAAGAUCAAGUACGAGUUCUUGAGCCACAUAAUCACAAAUAUGAAGCAUCGACAACGGGAGCUCGUGCACGAGACAGGUUUUGGCUUCUUGUUCUACACCCCUCUACAAUUCAGGUUGUGCCCAGCUACAUCCGCAUGGCUACUGGGUAAUUUUGAUCCGGAUACUAGAACUCUCUUCCCUAAUAUGGCGUUUAAAAUUGCUUUAAAGUCUAAAGAUAUAGAAACGUGCAUGGGCAUUCCAUCCGGAGGGAUCAUAAUUAGACCGCCAAAUACCACAGACAUGCAACUAGUUAAAGAUCAUGCGGCUCACAUUUUGUCAUCAAAUUUCACCAGAAAGACGCUUACAUUCUCACGUGCGAGACAAGUUUUAUCGAAUCAGCACAACACAGACACAAUUAGUAAGGAAAAGGAGCCAGCCUUUCAGAUUGCAUUUGUUUUGUAUGCUGUUUGGUCAUUCCUUGCUCCAUGGGCUGGCCCGAGCACUGCUUCUAUGGAGGCUGCAGCAAUUUGGGUUGUGGCUGAUCAAAAAGAGCUUCAAAAUGUGACUGGGCCUUAUACACGAUGGAACACUUGGUCUACUCUGCUCGUGCCUUCAGAUAACGAAUCCAUGCAGGGCCAGGUUCGGCCUACCUCGACAUCUCCGGAUGCACGCUCUUCCUAUUCGUGGUGUUCAUCCAACGUUGUUUGAGAUUUGCGGUGCAAGCAGAAACUAACCUUACACCGGUGAUACACCAUUUCAACGGCAAUACAUUAAAAUGUAUUGAGCAAUUAUGCCAGCUAGAAGGAUUCAUGGCGAUAAACAUUGGCCAGAACAUAACAAGAAUACAAGAGGGAUUACGUGAAGAAUCAGGCAAGCAUGAUCAGGUUGAAAAACAAAGCAACGACAUGCAAGAUAUUUUAUAGGAUGCAAGUAACGCCAAGAAAAAGCUUAAAACAGUACCAUUUAAAGAAGUAGUAAAUUUUGUGAAGGCAUGGGACUUGGCAAGGAAUGUGGUCCGUACAGAGGGACCCUCUGAGUUCCAUAUCACGACUCCGUCAGUCCACAAAGAUCAACAGGUGCAGAUUCCUCGCCGAUCAGCGGACGUCGACUUCACUUCGAUUCAACCCCGGACAACAUUGCAGACAAUAGUCCGUCCCUAGAACUUACGCUACUAAGCCCAUGCAUCAAAUCAACUGGAGGUGAAGAGCAAGGAGAAUCGACUACAAAGACCGAGGACAAGGGAAAGAACGUAGCACCUAUAUUUGACCAAUCACCAACCUUUUAAAAAAAUUAUAUGGCAUGUAAUCAAGUAUUUGCAGUCCGUCGAUGGUUUAUUAAACAACAGAAAUAAGUUUUUGUCCCGAUUCCAAAUCCCCA